ensembl:lncRNA
AUAAGAUCAGCAACUUAAGUGGGAGGUGUUGUGUUUUCUGUGGAGGUCUGCCGUUUGUGUAGUUUUGUUGUUUCUUAUUUACUUAGUUGAGUUGUUGAUGAACGUCUGAGGCUCGGCAGCCCAAUGGUGUAGUGCCUCUUUAAGAGAACGGUGUGCUGUGGGUCCAUGUGACCGGUGUUCGCCCAAUAAGAAGGUGGCGCAAGAGUUGUAUUAUUGCCACAUAACUUUGACCCGGUGUGCAGCCACUUGAUAGAUUGCAGUUCUCCACCCGGCCAGCUGCUCUUACUGCUGAGCUUUCUUGCCAUCACCAUCAAUAGAUCAGUGCUCCACUUAUGUAUUGUUCUGUAGCAGUCAUUAUUCCCAGUAUUUAUACCUCACAAGAUUGAAUAACCAGUACACAACUUUCGUUUUUGUUUUAUGUAGUAUGUUUUUAUUUGUAAUUUAAUUGGA